rnacentral:miRNA from 1 species
AGAUUUUUUGGGACUGCAGUUCCCAUCAUUCCUGACCACUGGUCCUGUUGGCUAGGAAUGAUGGGAGUUGUAGUCCCAAAACAUCU